UUAACUACAGUAGAAGGUAUAUGUAGUCAACACUGUAACCCAGCCUGUUAACUACAGUAGAAGGUAUAUGUAGUCAACACUGUAACCCAGCCUGUUAACUACAGUAGAAGGUAUAUGUAGUCAACACUGUAACCCAGCCUGUUAACUACAUGAGAAGGUAUAUGUAGUCAACACUGUAACCCAGCCUGUUAACUACAGUAGAAGGUAUAUGUAGUCAACACUGUAACCCAGCCUGUUAACUACAGUAGAAGGUAUAUGUAGUCAACACUGUAACCCAGCCUGUUAACUACAGUAGAAGGUAUAUGUAGUCAACACUGUAACCCAGCCUGUUAACUACAGUAGAAGGUAUAUGUAGUCAACACUGUAACCCAGCCUGUUAACUACAGUAGAAGGUAUAUGUAGUCAAC